rnacentral:Y_RNA from 1 species
GGCUGGUCUGAGUGAUCUAAUUCCGCUAAGGAUUUUCAUGUUCCUUCUCCAGUUCCACUGUUUCACUUGACUAGCCUAAA